GUGCCAACUGUAGGAGCCGGCCCUUAGAAACCCCCCAGGAGAUGUUCAGCCCUCUUAGGCACAGGGACAGCUAUUUUCUUGAACACUUGCAGCAUUCGAAUUGAUGAAGAGAUUUUUACAAACAAAUACGGAGCCUUCCCAGCACCUCCAGGAACUACAUCUCUGCUGGAAAAAGGAGAUGCCAUUUCUUGAAAAGGGCAAACAGACAA
rnacentral:lncRNA from 1 species